GUUAUAUGCUUGGGUUGACUGUAGACGGCUUCAUCUCCUUCCUCUAUAUGUAAGAACCUUAACAGAGAAGGGAGUCUGACCCAAAAGCAAAAAAGAGAGAGAUGGGAAGUGAUGAUCAACAUCUUCCUUUGUUUGAAACAAAAACAGCUAGAGGAAGAGUCGUCUACAGAGUAUUUGCAGCUACUGUGUUUGCAGGCAUAUGUUUGAUAUGGGCUUAUAGAUUGAGUUACAUACCAAGAGAAGGAGAAGAUG
rnacentral:misc_RNA from 1 species